rnacentral:lncRNA from 1 species
GCGCAGGCAAAGCAAAUCCUGCAGCUGAGGAUGGUGCUCUGACCAGGAGAUGCAGUACCGGUUGUGGGAAUGAAGGCACACCUGGAGACCAUUUGCGUGAAACUGGAAGAGGAUGGGUAGGGCCAUGGCGGAACACUGAUAUCGAUUGCUGGAGUCAGAAUGUACUCUAAGGUUUGUCUCCACCCUGACAAACAGAAAGCAGACGCCUAGGGAGAUGCAGGAAGACUGCCGAAUGAUUCGUUUCAUCGCUUAAAACCUGAUAACGGUGGGCCACACAAAGUCUUACUGGGUGUCCACGGACGACCCUUCCUCCCGGCCUUAGAGCUAAAGAAACAGCCUGCUUUUCCUGCUGGAAAAUCACUUAGAUUCAUUUGUCUUCUCCGGAUGCUGUUGAAUGGGGACAAGAGCCAAAGUACGGCCAUUUUUUCGUU